UACGGGGGGGGCAAGCGUUGUUCGGAAUUAUUGGGCGUAAAGAGCUCGUAGGCGGUUUGUCGCGUCGGCCGUGAAAACUUGGGGCUUAACUCCAAGCUUGCGGUCGAUACGGGCAGACUUGAGUUCGGCAGGGGAGACUGGAAUUCCUGGUGUAGCGGUGAAAUGCGCAGAUAUCAGGAGGAACACCGGUGGCGAAGGCGGGUCUCUGGGCCGAUACUGACGCUGAGGAGCGAAAGCGUGGGGAGCGAACAGG
rnacentral:rRNA from 1 species